rnacentral:lncRNA from 1 species
UUCAUUCAUACUUACUGUUAUUUUUGUUUACUUCUUGUUUUGUUUUCUGCCUUCUUUACUCCUUCUUUAUACUCUGCUCUGUUCUAGUUCACUUACUCUUCUAUCCUUUCUCACUUUCUUUCUUAUUCUUACUCUUUUCUUUCUUUUUUUUUUUUUGCUUCUUUCUCUUAUUUGGGCUAUCUUACUUUCUCUUAGUUUUACUCUCCUUGAGAAAUCACUUCUCACUAUACCUGGGACCAUGAAAACCUGAGACCACAAUGUCUCAUAGCAACUCUCUCUCUAGCUCUCUUCCUUCUUCAAUUCUCUAACCUCUCUUCUCUGAAUCUGCAUCUUUUAACUUUUACUUUUCCUCUGAAUCUUUAUCUAAAAUUUAAC